rnacentral:rRNA from 1 species
AUUGAACGCUGGCGGAAUGCUUUACACAUGCAAGUCGAACGGUAGAGGGGGCAACCCCUUGAGAGUGGCGAACGGGUGAGUAAUAUAUCGGAACGUGCCCAGUCGUGGGGAUAACGUAGCGAAAGCUACGCUAAUACCGCAUACGAUCUAUGGAUGAAAGCGGGGGAUCGCAAGACCUCGCGCGAUUGGAGCGGCCGAUAUCAGAUUAGGUAGUUGGUGAGGUAAAGGCUCACCAAGCCGACGAUCUGUAGCUGGUCUGAGAGGACGACCAGCCACACUGGGACUGAGACACGGCCCAGACUCCUACGGGAGGCAGCAGUGGGGAAUUUUGGGACAAUGGGCGCAAGCCUGAUCCAGCCAUGCCGCGUGCAGGAUGACGGUCCUAUGGAUUGUAAACUGCUUUUGUACAGGAAGAAACACUAGGUUCGUGAACCAGCUGACGGUACUGUAAGAAUAAGGAUACGGCUAACUACGUGCCAGCA